CCGAGUUAGCGGAAGGGGAUAACCCCGACGGUUGGGAAUGCGACUGCUCCGCAUUCCGGUUCACAAAACCCGGGGUGGUUGUUUUUCAGAGUGCUUCUACUUGGGUUAUUCCAUUUACUUCUUCAUUAACCCGGUAACAGAAUUUGAGGAGUGGGACGCUGCCAGAAUUUGAGGAGUAAUUAAGAUUAUCAGUGAUGGAUACGUUGACUGUCGGGACUGUGCUCUCCAUAUUUUGAGGAAAAGGAGAAACUUGAAGCUGAUGUCUUUGGCCCCACUACUCCCGAGCCUACCUCAGGAGCUGCUCUUCCAGCAUGCUGGGACGCCGGAGUGCACUGAAGGGCAACUUCACCUGCCUUGUGGCUCUUUCCUUCCAGCGUGUUCUUCACGGAAUGCUUUAGGAAUUGGGUAUUCACUCUGUUCAGGACCUCAUACCACUCAGGCAGCAGUUCUCAAACUUCCAACGGCCACAAGUCACGUCAAGCCAAUGCAGACCACCAGUGUUAGGGGCUGAGUGUAUCCUUUGGACAUUAGAGGCCAAUGACAGAAUUGACAAGGUACCUGAGACAAAUUGGACAUGAUGGGCAAAGUCAAGUUCUCAUCCGAAGUUGAGGAACGGCCCUCUGCUCACAGAGGGGAAAGCAGAGGGGUGGAGAUUAGACCAUUGGAAAGAGAGUUGGGAGGACAGUGAAAAUGUCCAGGCAGGAGGUGAUGUAUUCCUGAAGUUGGGUAGGAAAAGGACUAGACAGAAGAGGAAGGAUCAGUGUGAGCAAAGAGGGGACAUGGGGACAUGGGGACUGAUUAAACAUGAGAAGAAGGAAGAAGGAGGAAUCUCCAAUGUGCUGGGAUGCUGCAUGAAAAGGAAUCCUAACCACCCCCCGCCCCCUGCCACACACACAUUUCCAAACUGCCCAUGGCCCUGUAAUGCAAGAGGCAGCUGAUCUGUGGAUUUGAAAAAAUACCCCGUGUGCAAUAUUCACUUUGUAGUUAGAGGAAAGGUUCUUGACAUGGCUGCACAUUAGUAUCAUCUGGGGAGUUUGAAAUUCUUGUGCCUAGGCCCCAGCUCAGGCCAGCUGAAUCAGAAUCCCUGGGUAUUUUCAUACCUCUCCCCACCUUCCCCUGCAACAGAGGUAAGGCUAACGUGCAGCCAGGGCUGGGAGCCUCUGGGCCUGGGGACACAGCACGCAACUACCUGCCUGGACUCCUUAUUGGAAGUGUCCACAGCUUGAAGCUUUGUUUGGCUCAGCUUGGACCGCUGUUGCUUGGAGUGAGAGAAAUGACCUGACCUGUGGGACUCAGCCCUCUGUGCAGAGGCCGGCAGGGAAAGCCUGGAAGGGAAACAGGAAAGGAAGCCAGGUGUAUGGCACACGUGCUUCCCUCUGCCUGUGGAAGGAGGCAGCUGUCACACUUCUACAUGUCACGUUCACCCAGGGACAUUUGUCAGAUGCAGAUGCCUGGGUCUCACUCUCUCCUUGGGUCAGGAGUCUAGGGUUCGGCCCAGGAAUCUGCAUCUUAAUGGGUCCCAGGUGACAGUGACAGAGGGUUCACCGCACACGUGUGCACGUACACACCCCCCAAAAACCCUGCGAGGCCUGCAGGAGCAAUGGUCUAUGGGCCCCUGUGAUGGACGCGUACAGGCAGAGAUUCUCCUUCACCCUGGACCCCGGUCCAGGAGAUUCUGAACAGUUGGGACUGAGGUAGUGCCCAGCAAUGUAAGUGUUAGAAACGAUUAGGACUUCCAUUUCUAAAAAUGGUUAAAAUGUCCACUUGGGGGCCUUCGUGGAAAAGAGGUGGACUUGCCCGAAGUUUUCUUUGUUUACUAGAAGGUGGAAGUGAAACCGGAAGGGCCCUUGGCUCACUUACUCCUUAUUCCCACCCAAAGGGAAACUGGGGGGCUUUCCGAGGCUGACGCUAGCAGCAAGCGCCAGAGGUAAAGUGGGAGCCCAAGAAGCAGCCUCCGGUCUCAGAGAACUUCAGUUUCAGCAGUGGGUCUCAGGCCGGAGGACCCCUGCCCCAGAGGCUCGGAUGUUCAGUGCUUGUGGGCUUAGGAAAGGUUCCCACCUGUCCUGGCCCUCCCUUAGGCCCUCUCUGUGGGAGAGGAGAGCCACACAGCCACCUUGCCACCCUCACCACUGGUCACUGGGAAGGUGCUGAAUGACGCAGGGGUUGCUGUACCCGGAGAAAAGGAAGCCAGGUUCUGGGCAGGUGCCACCUGUCCAGCAGGCUGCUCUCCCAGCUUUGUUUUUCCUUUCUCUAAGCCAGGAGAGGGUUGUGGGAGGGGUGUUCCCUCAGGAAGAAAAGGCACCUGGCCUCCUAAUCCCCCAAAGCAGAGGCAGCUCAGGCCCAGAGGCCCCAGGGUCUGGUUCCACUGUCCUCCCUAGAGAAAUAUGGGAGUGGGCUCGGAGAGGCCCAGGAGUGCUUCCGUGUCUCAUAGGAAGGGGAAACAAACCCUGCUGUUCCAGAGCAGGCUUCGGUCAGAGGGGCAGCAGCCGGUACCAGGACAAAGGCCCUUUUGGAGGAGGUGUCAGUGUUCACACCCCACACCCCAGAAAUGGGGACUGGGCUGGUGUUUUCGUCAGCUAAGGCAGCUAUAACAAAAUGCCACAGACUGGGCGGCUUAAGCAACAGACAUGUAUCUCAGUUCUGGAGGCUGGGAAGAGGCUGGCCCAGUGCAACAGGGCGAUUACUCAGCUCUGUCUUCUCCAGUCCCAAUUCUGGACCUCCUCCAUGCAUUCUGAUCAAAAAGAAGGACUAAUCUGCUCUAAAGUGGGAGUCACCAGGAAUAACCCAGCCCUGUUGUCAGGAUUCAUUGUAGAGCUUUAAAUGUGUUAUAAGACAGUUUACAACGUUGAAGCAAAAUCCAGGGAUGUACAUGGGUUAAGUUAAAAGCACAAUUUUAUAUUUUCUCGUCAAACAAGUUGACUCGAGGCAACAACUGAAGUAUAAUUUAAUUCAACAGGAAACAUCCCACUUGGAGGGAAAACAGAAAACCAAAAAAAAAAAAAAAAAAAAAAAAAACCAAAAAAAAAAAAAAACCUUAAAUUAAAGCCAAACAUUCUUUCCAAGGCACAGCACUGACAUUUCCAGAUUGACAAGCACAAUGAGUUUGUUUCCAUGAAACAAAAUCAUGAGUCCAGAGUUUGCCUUUGAAACAGCUUUCCACAUCAUCUCCAUUUCUCAAGGCUCAGGGAACGAUGCUCGUGGCCUUCCUCAGGGCCAGGUAGCCAGUGACGACAUCAGAUGGCAGCCUCCGGAUAUAGGAAAACUCUUCAAUGGUGCUGAACCGCAGCUUGCUCUGGGGGUCAGUGUAGUUGGCCUGGGUGGGAAACAGGCACAGGGAAAGGCGGAAAAUUGUUGUUAGUGCUGAACAUUUUAAGUCCAAGCUUAAAGUUUUUUUCUAUUGUACUUAAAGUAAAAUAUCUUCAUUUUGCCUUCCUCUGUCACCAUGAACGCUAAACUGCUCACUUUGGCAAAGACUGGUUAAUCUUCCCAGACUUGAGAAAUAAUUCAGGGUAUGGACGAAGGGAAGAGGAGUGACCACAUCAGACACGACGAUUCUUCUGGUUGGUGUCACAAAGGCUAGAAGAAACAGGUCCAAAGUGGAAUUCAUGAGGAUCAUCCCUCCCUGGUCCCUGCCUUCAAACCCCCCCUGCUUUGGGGCUCCUGGGUAGGUCAGUCGGUUAAGUGUCUGACUCUUGAUUUUGGCUCAUGUCAUGAUCUCACGGUUCGUGAGACUGAGUCCUGCAUCAGCCUCUGUACUGAUGGUGUGGAGCCUGCUUGGGAUUCUCUUUCUCUCUUUCUCUCUCUCUCUCUCUCUCCCCCCCCACCCCCCGCCCUCUGCUUCAAACAGAUGUUCUAGCUCCAUCCCCCAAGGCAGGGAACAGGGGCUUGCCGUGCACACUCGCCCCUCCCUGUCACACCACGCCUGCCCCAUGUGCACUCCACUCCUGCUCCUCCACACCGUCCCCGUGCCACUCCUGUGGCUUCCUGGGCUACACCGCAGAGCUGGAGGGGCCGCCCACACCCACCCUCCCACUGGAAGGGACCACCGCCCUACAACUGCAACCAGAGCCAUCUUCACAACUUGUGCUUCUGAUCAUGUCAUUCAUUCCUCAGCAGAUCUCUCAGUAGCUGCUCUCUUUCCUCAGGACAAAGGGCCACAUCCUCAAGCACUGCUCCUCAGAGCCGGCAAGCCCUCCUGGGCCCUCCUCCUUCCCAAGCCUCUUCCGCAGCCACACGUCCCCACUCUGGUUCCAACUGCUCUGGCUCUCAGGCCCUCCCUGCAUUCAUGCCCCAUUCGCCCUUUCCUGAGGAGGGGCCCCCAACUGGGCCUCUUUACUCCCUAAUUGCCUGCUUGUCCUUCAGGACUCGGCCCCCAGUCAUCUCAUCAGGGAAGCUUUAUCUGCUCCCCCACUCUCCCCACAUCUGUCUUUCACUCUUACACUUAUUAUCUGCAUAACUCUUUGACUAAGGUCUAGGCUGAGAGGCUCCAUGAGGCAGGAACCCUGUGCCUUGCUUAUCACCGCAUCUCUGCCCCUAGUGCAAUACGGAGUGCACGGUGGGCCUUCAGGUGGUGUUUGCACAGCGAGUGAUGACUGAAUGAAUGAACGAACAAAUGGACUAUCAGGAUGAUCACAGAAAACAGAACUCACUUCCCACUGACAUAUCAAAAUUAUCUUUUAGUGUGUUUUCCCCACAUGCAAAGUGGAGAAAAUAAAUUCACUGACUGUAUUACCUCAAGUCAUGUGGCUUCUACAGAUUUUGAAACAAAACAUGAGGAUGAGUCAUUUGGAACUCCUUGAAAAAAUUAUAAAAGAUGCCAUUAAAGUCUAGACAGAUAACGUCCAGUUACUCGAGUGUGGACUGUCUGCUCAGCGCAGAUCAGCUCUGUGUGGCCCCCAGACAUGCAGCAGUGCUGUUAUUUCAGGGGAGAGGGAAGGCUGAAGAAGCAGGAAGCUGAAGGGAGUCAGUGGUAGGUUUCUCACACUCUAUAAAAAGUCCUCAAUUCAGCCACAGGGGAUCUCCCGAAGCUAUUUAACAUCCAAUGUGUCAGGAAAAUGAGAUUAUUCCUAAAGAUUCAUUAAAGCUCUCCAUAAAAUAAAACUUCAAUCCUUUGGCUUAAUCUAGAUCUUGCUUUCUGUACCACAUUUCCUGUAAUGACAGCAAUAUCAAGGAAGGCUUAAGUAGAGAGAGAGCAACAAGUCCCCUUUGAGGGCUCCUGGCCACGCAGCGGCCGGACGAACUGGCUGGCAGGGGAGGCUCUACCGCAGUUCCAAGCAGGGGCGCAGGCCUGUGCGUCUGGCUUUGAUCAUCUGGCCUCCGUAUAUGAACCAGCUCUGGCCUGGCUCCACUUCUGUGGCUGCCUCACUCCUACCACCACACUGUGCUGAGCCGGCCCGCCCAAGUUCAGACCUCGGUGCCAAGAAGGCUGAGGAAUAAAUAACGCAGAAUACAGAGAUACUCUGGCACCGACAGAAAGGUUACCAACAAAAGCUCGCACAGACCGGACCUGACCUAGUAUUCUGAGCAGAAGGGAGGAGGCCAAGUGACACCCCAGAGGUGAACAAGGGAAAAGCUGCACUCCUCCGGUCUGCCCUCCUCGGAUUCCACGCCUGGAGCCUGAAUACAACAAUGACCGCCUUCCCGUGGGGCGCCAGUAAAGACCUGUAAGGCUCCCCUGGCUGCAAGGUGACCGGCAGUGUUCACUGCUCACCCAGAACCACUGUGCUUCCCAUCGCCUUGUAACGAGGGCUAAACACAGGUGUGACCCUGCACGCCUCCCUGCCUGCCCACGCCCAGCGGACAGGUGUGGCAGUGUUAACAUGAGCUGGGCUUCAUUUUUAAUUAUGUAACUUUAAUUAAAAAAAAUUUUUUUUUUCAA